GCACCCUCUGCCCCCUCUUGUGCCUCCCACGGUUCCCAGCUGCCUGCCACCAGCGGCAGACCAUCCCGGACGAGCCUGCCUGCAGAGGGACACCACCACCCUCCAUCUCCUGAGCCUUCCACAUCGGGUGCAGGAUUGGGCCGCCGAGGGUCCACUUCUUCCUCUCCCUCCCACUCAAAAAGAACCAGCUCCUCCUCCUCCCUGUCUGUUGGGCCCACGACAUCCACCGGUCACACCGCUGCAAAGAGGAGACUGGAGCCGACAGUCUGGCGGUGUGGCCGGUGCAGGGAACCCGAACCUCCAGAGGCUCCAGAGGGAUUGGUGUCGUGGGUCCAGUGUGACAACUGCCACAAGUGGUUUCACACCACUUGUGUCAGCUGGGAGGAGGAUGAGCUGAACAAUAAUGAAUUUUGGUGUUUUUGGU